rnacentral:rRNA from 1 species
UACGAAGGGGGCUAGCGUUGCUCGGAAUGACUGGGCGUAAAGCGCACGUAGGCGGGUCCUUAAGUCAGGGGUGAAAUCCCGGAGCUCAACUCCGGAACUGCCUUUGAUACUGGGGAUCUUGAGUCCGGAAGAGGUGAGUGGAACUCCGAGUGUAGAGGUGAAAUUCGUAGAUAUUCGGAAGAACACCAGUGGCGAAGGCGGCUCACUGGUCCGGUACUGACGCUGAGGUGCGAAAGCGUGGGGAGCAAACAGG